GGGGUGGUGGUGGCGGCCCGCCGGGACUGCCCGGGUCGGCUAUCGUCACCCGUCAGCAGGCGGGCGCUCGCGGCCCAUUCCCGCGCACGGCUCCGGGAGGCCACGGCAGGAGCAGCUUUUUAUCGGCCCGCAGCGCCCUGGGACACGCGCGGCUGCGGCAUCUUCCCGGCGGCCUCGGGGAGCCGCUCCUCUCCUGGGCCGCGGCCGCGCUCCCCGUCACUCGUGGUGCGGCCCCGCCUCCAUCCCGGUUGCGGCAGGCGCUCAGAGCGUUUCCCGGUGCCGGUUUCACCGGAACCGGCGCCGAUGGACGGAGCCCCCGUGGGAGCACUCGUGUCAGUCGGGAGCCGUGGCUCUGGGGACACCGCCCGCCCCCGCGGGCAGGGGAGCGACUCCCGCACCUCUGGAAGGGCUUCGAGUCACGCAGCGCUGGUUCGGGGAUAGGGAACGGGCCCUGAACCCGCCUGUCACUGGAGGAUACCUGAACCGCCUCCUCCUGCCGGGAGGGUGUGGGACGGAGAACGCUCGGAGCACGCCCGGUGCGGCGGAUCCCUCCCCGGUACCUGAGGCCAUGCGAGGAUGCUCAGAGGCGCUUUCAGGACCCGGCCCCGCCGCACCCGCUCGCUCGGCAGCCCCUGCCCUGCCCCGACCUCCGAGCCCUCUCUCAGAUCCUGGAGUUGGUUUUCUUGAAAAUGCCCUUCUGCAAAGCGCAGGCAUCAGUCUGUGGGAUCCUCAGGCUGGUGGAGCCGGUCCCUCACCGAGAAUCAGAUCAGCUCCGUGCUUCCCAAAACACUACUCUCCAUAAAAACCGGCCUUAAUCCAACAGCUAAAUCUAUUUGGAAAAAGACUGGCCAUAAGAGUAUGGAAAACUGUCAUAAGCAUAAAGGAAAUGUAUUUCAUUUGAGGUUUCAUAUUGAGGCUUUGGGUCCACAGGCUUAUUUAUUCCUUCUGGACCAGAGAUGUGCCUUCCUCAAGACCAUGAGCUGCAAGUAAGAACAACCCCAAGAGAAAGAAGAAUUAAAGGAGUGAGGGGAAGGAGAAAUCAGAAGAGUUGCCUGUGGAGGAGUCUCAGUACCCAGAGCUGGAGCGGGGGCUGGCAGCAUUAAAACCCGUCCAUUUGAAAUGCAGAUGCUGAAAUCAUUUGGAGGACUGGAAAUACUGAUCAACAGCAAACGGAAUGGGAAGAAGCCAAAGUCAUCUCUUCACAGUCCACCACUAGAAAGUAAGAAACUCAGGCUCUGAAAGUCUCAAGGGUCCUUGUCAGAGGACUCCCCAAGGAGGGAAACUGGCCUACAGCCUUCUCCGUGUUUGCUGAAAGAACGCCGCUUCUAGGGUAAGGAGUGGGAAAUAUAAAAACUCAGAAAGCCUAAGUGUUCAUAUAAGAGCAUUAAAAUUGGUGUGGUCUGUUCAUGGCUGGAAAAAAACACCUUUAGAGCACCUGUAAUGCCAUAGCUGAGAACUAACGCCAGAGAGGAGAA